UACAGAGGUCUCAAGCGUUGUUCGGAUUCAUUGGGCGUAAAGGGUGCGUAGGCGGCGCGGUAAGUCGGGGUGUGAAAAUCUUGGAGCUUUAGCUCCGAAACUGCAUUCGAUACUGCCCGUGCUUUGAGGGACUGGGAGAGGGAGACUGGGAAAUUUACGGGUGUAGCGGGUGAAUGCGUAGAUAUCGUAAAGGAAGACCCAGUGG
rnacentral:rRNA from 1 species